AGGAGGGAACCGGCAGUAGAGGAGUCUGGAGGAAGAAAAGAGUGUUUGCUUCUACAAAAGGAGAGGACGUACCUUUCGGAAGGGGGAACAAUAAGGCAAACUACGUCUUGGGAAUGGUCACUUUACAAAUGACCUGGACUAACCUGUACCCCACACAUUGACUCGUUUUCCCAGUUCUGACUAUUCUGCCUGCCCUGACCCCAAGCCUGCCUGCCGUCCUGUACCUGCCUGACUCAGACCUGAUCACGAACCCCUGCCUGUCCUCGACCUGCCCUUUGCCUGCCCGUGUUUACAAUAAAUCAUCUGAGUACUGUAC